rnacentral:tRNA from 1 species
GCGGGCGAGGGGUGGGAACCAGGGAUUCAGCUUCCCAAGCUGAAUGUCGUGGGUUCGAUUCCCAUCGCCCGCUCCA